rnacentral:rRNA from 1 species
GACGAACGCUGGCGGCGUGCUUAACACAUGCAAGUCGAACGAAGUGGCGAACGGGUGAGUAACACGUGGGUGACCUGCCCUGCACUUCGGGAUAAGCCUGGGAAACUGGGUCUAAUACCGGAUAGUGUGGGAUGGGCCCGCGGCCUAUCAGCUUGUUGGUGGGGUAAUGGCCUACCAAGGCGGCGACGGGUAGCCGGCCUGAGAGGGUGGACGGCCACAUGGGGACUGAGACACGGCCCAGACGCCAACGGGAGGCAGGAGUGGGGAAUAUUGCACAAGGGGCGGAAGCAUGAUGCAGCGACGCAGCGUGGGGGAUGACGGCCUUCGGGUUGUAAACUCCUUUCACCAUCGACGCGGUAGAUGGAGAAGAAGCACCGGCUAACUACGUGCCAGCAGCCGCGGUAAUUC